rnacentral:rRNA from 1 species
UACGUAGGUGGCGAGCGUUGUCCGGAUUUACUGGGCGUAAAGGGCGUGCAGGCGGUUUGCUAAGUCUAGGGUGAAAGCUCCCGGCUCAACUGGGAGAGGUCCUUGGAUACUGACAGACUUGAGGGAGGCAGAGGAGAAUGGAAUUCCCGGUGUAGUGGUGAUAUGCGUAGAUAUCAGGAGGAACACCGAUGGCGAAGGCAGGUCUCUGGGCUGUAACUGACGCUGAGGAGCGAAAGCAUGGGGAGCGAACAGG